CAUGGACUAACCGAGCAACGCUGUGUUAUCUGAUGGGUAGAUGCCUUUAUGUAAAUGUUAGGGAGACGGCUUCCAUCGGUCUCUGACUAAUUACGUGUUCAGGAGCAUACAGGUAAAUAUAUGCUCGCAGCUGUGCUGGCUAAGAAGCGUUGUGAGGAGCGGGCGGAAGUCGCCCGGGCCGAGGGCUGUCCCACUUCUGCCUCCAGCGGGUGCCAGUCUGCAGACGUCACUAUGAUGAACGAAUGUGCAAUGAAGAGACGAGACAGCUGGAGGAGCAGUGUGUGGGCGAGGGAGAGAGGUGGAGCUAGAGACGUGGAGGCGAUGCUAGGUGUGAGUGAGGUGGCCAGGGUGGUGUGCAGCAGCCUGGAGAUUCAGACCCCACCUUCCCGCCUCCCUGUCUCCCUACCUAACGGCCCCACAACCCACAGCCCAGCAUUGGGAUCACCCUGGCUCUGAGCUAUGAUGGAGGCUUGAGAUGAGAAAUGGUUCACUUUCUGGACUGGACCUCUUUGAAGGACCACCAUGGUCAAUGAUGCCAUGGCCACUGAGGACCAUGAGGACCAUGAGGGUUUGGUGGUACUUGAUGCGGCUGGGGAUCAGAUCGAUGUCUGUGGCAUGUGUUACACCUAACCCCAUGUGUAGCUGUGGUCUAUGCAACGGCCUGAAGCCAUUGAUAGCCGUUGAUGUCUGUGGAAUGUACCAUUGGCUGCCCCUGGGGGCCAUAUUGACUGCUGAGAAUGGAAUGCUGGCAAGCACCACAACACCGAGCUGCAGCCCCAGCCCACAGCACUGAGCUGCAGCCCCAGCCCUCUGAGAGUGGAUUCGAUCAAGCCAUGCCAUGAGAUGGGCACUCAAGCUCCAUGUACCUGACUGUGAGCUUUCGGCAUUACCCAGUUUCACAUUCUGCUGACAUUUAACCUCCAGCUCUCGCUCAGGGCUCACUCACUUUCUUCUGCCCCCAAACCUUUGACUCUCACUCUCAGCUAAGAGUUCUGCCUCUUAUUUAUCUGAGACAAUUAGGCAGACGGAGUCUUAUCACAUAUGGAUGUGCCUCAGCUUUAACCCUAGUCUCUUGAAUUGUUCCGUGCCCGGGGGGCCGUGGCCAGCCUGUGUGAUAACUCCUGGAUCUCUCUCCGACAUCGGUUGCAGACUUGGGUACCCGGUUGCCUGCUCUCCAGCUGCAUUGGUAUGACUUGGUGAGCACCUCAUACUCAGCACAAGAAAACAUUCUUCCUUGAUGGGCCGACAAUUGUGCUAAGCAGGCCUACUGCAGUACUUUCCCUUGCCUCGUUGUGAUCACUGACAUUUCUGCAUGUAGUCAGCACUAGGCAUAGGGCCACAAAGAGACGGCCAAGCAGAUCUCCGAGACUGCAUACACAUUCUUGUCUCAUGGGUACAGUCUGAGAGCAUCAGUGCAAAGGGGGCAGAAGACACAAGAGUCUGGGCACCCGCCUGUGUAACUUGGGUCACUUAGAUCUCUGUGGGCCUGGUGCCUGGUGCAUCACUGGUGCCUGGUGCAUUCAAAUAAGGAAUGGCUGCCCCAUCCUACCAACUUUAUGACCACUGAAAACCAGACUAAAUGGGGCAGUUCCAGUCAUACACUCCUUUGAAGCCUGUCCGUAGGAGACAAAUAUAUGACCAUAUCAACACCUGACACAUUCACCUUGUUUUUAUUACAUGUCAGUGGCUCCCAUGUGGCCGCUGGUGAAGUCAAACUCCUUGUACCUCCUGACACCCAAGAGCAUCAUCUCCAGCCCGCUACUUCCUGUUCCGGCUCCUUACUCUCCUCCUUCCCCCUUCUCACACUGUCUUCUUCGCCUGGUAUCCCAUCCCUCUUCCCAAACUCCUUACUCUAUUCACCCUUUAAAAACCACCUUAGGAAAAAAAAAUUAAAUCAACCCGUGUAUACGUUGGUUUGUAUGUAAUAUCGAACACAUGAGUAUUACUGUAUCAGUGCAAAUCUGUGGAAUGCUGACCAGGGAAAUGUUUUAAAAUAUAUUUAAAAUAAUCAUA